AUUGAACGCUGGCGGCAGGCCUAACACAUGCAAGUCGAGCGAGCGGCGGACGGGUGAGUAAUGGAUGGGGACUGCCCGAUAGAGGGGGAUAACGGAUGGAAACGGUGGCUAAUAGCGCAUACUAUAGGCUAACCCAUAUGGGAUUAGCGAGUAGGUGGGGUAAAGGCUCACCUAGGCGACGAUCUCUAGCUGGUCUGAGAGGAUGAUCAGCCACACUGGGACUGAGACACGGCCCAGACUCCUACGGAGGCAGCAGUGGGGAAUAUUGCGCAAUGGGCGCAAGCCUGAUGCAGCCAUGCCGCGUGUAUGAAGAAGGCCUUAGGGUUGUAAAGUUCUUUCAUCGGGGAGGCGUUACCCGCAUAGUAAGCACCGGCUAACUCCGUGCCAGCAGCCGCGGUAAUUC
rnacentral:rRNA from 1 species